GACAGAGGGUGCAAACGUUUUUCGGAAUUACUGGGCGUAAAGCGAGUGUAGGCGGUCUGAAAAGUCGGGUGUGAAAGCCCCGGGCUCAACCCGGGAAGUGCACUCGAAACUGCCAGGCUAGAGUAUCGGAGAGGUUGGUGGAAUUCUCGGUGUAGAGGUGAAAUUCGUAGAUAUCGAGAGGAACACCGGUGGCGAAGGCGGCCAACUGGACGAAUACUGACGCUGAGACUCGAAAGCGUGGGGAGCAAACAGG
rnacentral:rRNA from 1 species